rnacentral:rRNA from 1 species
UUAAAACCCAAAGGACUUGGCGGUGCUUUACAUCCACCUAGAGGAGCCUGUUCUAGAACCGAUAACCCCCGUUAAACCUCACCCUCCCUUGUUUUUUCCGCCUAUAUACCGCCGUCGUCAGCUUACCCUGUGAAGGUUUAAUAGUAAGCAGAAUUGGUAAAACCCAAAACGCCAGGUCGAGGUGUAGCGAAUGAGAGGGGAAGAAAUGGGCUACAUUUCCUAAACCAGGAAAUACGGACAAUGUACUGAAACGUACAUUAGAAGGAGGAUUUAGCAGUAAGCAGAAAAUAGAGCGUUCCGCUGAAACUGGCCCUGAAGCGCGCACACACCGCCCGUCACUCUCCCCGAGCUAACAUAGAUAUAUUCUUAAUAACCAACACCUGCAAAGGGGAGGCAAGUCGUAACAUGGUAAGUGUACCGGAAGGUGCACUUGGAAAAAU